GACGAACGCUGGCGGCGUGCUUAACACAUGCAAGUCGAACGAUGAACCCGGAGCUUGCUCCGGUGGAUUAGUGGCGAACGGGUGAGUAACACGUGAGUAACCUGCCCUUGACUCUGGGAUAACUGCGGGAAACUGUAGCUAAUACCGGAUACGACCCUCGGCGGCAUCGCCAGGGGGUGGAAAGAAUUUCGGUCAAGGAUGGACUCGCGGCCUAUCAGCUAGUUGGUGAGGUAACGGCUCACCAAGGCGACGACGGGUAGCCGGCCUGAGAGGGUGACCGGCCACACUGGGACUGAGAUACGGCCCAGACUCCUACGGGAGGCAGCAGUGGGGAAUAUUGCACAAUGGGCGCAAGCCUGAUGCAGCGACGCCGCGUGAGGGAUGACGGCCUUCGGGUUAUAAACCUCUUUCAGCAUCGACGAAGCGAAAGUGACGGUAGGUGCAGAAAAAGCACCGGCUAACUACGUGCCAGCCGCCGCAGUAA
rnacentral:rRNA from 1 species